AGAGUUUGAUCAUGGCUCAGGACGAACGCUGGCGGCGCGCCUAACACAUGCAAGUCGAACGAGAGAUGAGGAGCUUGCUCUUCAAAUCGAGUGGCGAACGGGUGAGUAACGCGUGAGGAACCUGCCUCAAAGAGGGGGACAACAGUUGGAAACGACUGCUAAUACCGCAUAAGCCCACGGCUCGGCAUCGAGCGGGGGGAAAAGGAGCAAUCCGCUUUGAGAUGGCCUCGCGUCCGAUUAGCUAGUUGGUGAGGUAAUGGCCCACCAAGGCGACGAUCGGUAGCCGGACUGAGAGGUUGAACGGCCACAUUGGGACUGAGACACGGCCCAGACUCCUACGGGAGGCAGCAGUGGGGAAUAUUGCACAAUGGGGGAAACCCUGAUGCAGCGACGCCGCGUGGAGGAAGAAGGUCUUCGGAUUGUAAACUCCUGUUGUUGAGGAAGAUAAUGACGGUACUCAACGAGGAAGUGACGGCUAACUACGUGCCAGCAGCCGCGGUAAAACGUAGGUCACAAGCGUUGUCCGGAAUUACUGGGUGUAAAGGGGGCGCAGGCGGGAGAACAAGUUGGAAGUGAAAUCCAUGGGCUCAACCCAUGAACUGCUUUCAAAACUGUUUUUCUUGAGUAGUGCAGAGGUAGGCGGAAUUCCCGGUGUAGCGGUGGAAUGCGUAGAUAUCGGGAGGAACACCAGUGGCGAAGGCGGCCUACUGGGCACCAACUGACGCUGAGGCUCGAAAGUGUGGGUAGCAAACAGGAUUAGAUACCCUGGUAGUCCACACCGUAAACGAUGAUUACUAGGUGUUGGAGGAUUGACCCCUUCAGUGCCGCAGUUAACACAAUAAGUAAUCCACCUGGGGAAUACGACCGCAAGGUUGAAACUCAAAGGAAUUGACGGGGGCCCGCACAAGCAGUGGAGUAUGUGGUUUAAUUCGACGCAACGCGAAGAACCUUACCAAGUCUUGACAUCCCUUGACGAUGCUGGAAACAGUAUUUCUCUUCGGAGCAAGGAGACAGGUGGUGCAUGGUUGUCGUCAGCUCGUGUCGUGAGAUGUUGGGUUAAGUCCCGCAACGAGCGCAACCCUUAUGGUCAGUUACUACGCAAGAGGACUCUGGCCAGACUGCCGUUGACAAAACGGAGGAAGGUGGGGAUGACGUCAAAUCAUCAUGCCCUUUAUGACUUGGGCUACACACGUACUACAAUGGCGUUAAACAAAGAGAAGCAAGACCGCGAGGUGGAGCAAAACUCAGAAACAACGUCCCAGUUCGGACUGCAGGCUGCAACUCGCCUGCACGAAGUCGGAAUUGCUAGUAAUCGUGGAUCAGCAUGCCACGGUGAAUACGUUCCCGGGCCUUGUACACACCGCCCGUC
rnacentral:rRNA from 1 species